rnacentral:rRNA from 1 species
GACUACUGGGGUAUCUAAUCCCGUUUGCUCCCCACGCUUUCGAGCCUCAGCGUCAGUAACGUGCCAGAGAUCCGCUUUCGCCACCGGUGUUCCUCCAGAUAUCUACGCAUUUCACCGCUACACCUGGAAUUCCAAUCUCCUCUCACGUACUCAAGCCAGGCAGUAUCCAAAGCACGUCCAGGGUUGAGCCCUGGAAUUUCACUUUAGACUUACCAAGCCGCCUGCGCUCCCUUUACGCCCAGUUAUUCCGAACAACGCUUGCAACCUCCGUAUUACCGCGGCUGCUGGCACGGAGUUAGCCGUUGCUUAUUCCUGAGGUACCGUCAAAUCCAGCGCAUUUCCUCGCCAGACAGUUCUUCCCUCAGAAAAGGACUUUACGACCCGAAGGCCUUCAUCAUCCACGCGGCAUCGCUGGAUCAGGGUUUCCCCCAUUGUCCAAUAUUCCCCACUGCAGCCUCCCGUAGG